rnacentral:misc_RNA from 1 species
AAGUCGUAACAAGGUUUCCGUAGGUGAACCUGCGGAAGGAUCAUUAACACAAUACUUUCAUAUCAACCUUGGAGCACUGUCUGAACUUAGGACUGCAAGCGCUGGAUUGACAAUGGUUGGAUUUUGGUUUUCAUUCAAUUGAGAAUUAAGAUUCGGUCCUUUCAGCUAUAAUAUCCUUCGAGGUAUGAGCUUGACUAACCUAGGUAUUACAGCCUCAAUCAUGGCUGGCCUUUUUUGUUUUUUUAUAAAACUACUUGAAAUUUGUACUGAUUUGGGCUUCGGAUCGAGAGGAGCAAUCCUUUCUCUAAGCUUUUGAUGGAGUAAUCCAUUCAAAUAACCAAAACACAACUCUUAACAGCGGAUAUCUCGGUUCUC